GCCGAAGUGGCGGAACGGUAGACGCAGCGGACUCAAAAUCCGCCGCCCUUAAAAGCGUGUGGGUUCGAGUCCCACCUUCGGCA
rnacentral:tRNA from 1 species